UACGUAGGGACCAAGCGUUGUUCGGAUUUACUGGGCGUAAAGGGCGCGUAGGCGGCAAUUCAAGUCAGCUAUGAAAUCUCCGAGCUUAACUCGGAACGGUCAGCUGAUACUGUUUUGCUAGAGUACAGAAGGGGCAAUCGGAAUUCUUGGUGUAGCGGUGAAAUGCGUAGAUAUCAAGAGGAACACCUGAGGUGAAGACGGGUUGCUGGGCUGAUACUGACGCUGAGGCGCGAAAGCUAGGGUAGCAAACGGG
rnacentral:rRNA from 1 species